UACGGGGGGGGCAAGCGUUGUUCGGAAUUACUGGGCGUAAAGGGCUCGUAGGCGGCCAACUAAGUCAGACGUGAAAUCCCCAGGCUCAACCUGGGAACUGCGUCUGAUACUGGAUGGCUUGAAUCCGGGAGAGGGAUGCAGAAUUCCAGGUGUAGCGGUGAAAUGCGUAGAUAUCUGGAGGAAUACCGGUGGCGAAGGCGGCAUCCUGGACCGGCAUUGACGCUGAGGAGCGAAAGUGUGGGUAGCGAAAGGG
rnacentral:rRNA from 1 species